rnacentral:rRNA from 1 species
UACGUAGGGGGCAAGCGUUGUCCGGAAUCAUUGGGCGUAAAGAGCGUGUAGGCGGCCCGAUAAGUCCGCCGUGAAAGUCCAGGGCUCAACCCUGGAAUGCCGGUGGAAACUGUCGGGCUCGAGUCCGGAAGAGGCGAGUGGAAUUCCUGGUGUAGCGGUGAAAUGCGCAGAUAUCAGGGGGAACACCAAUGGCGAAGGCAGCUCGCUGGGACGGUACUGACGCUGAGACGCGAAAGCGUGGGGAGCAAACAGG